rnacentral:rRNA from 1 species
AGUGGCAGACGGGUGAGUAAUGUAUAGGAAUCUACCUAGUAGUACGGAAUAAUUGUUGGAAACGGCAACUAAUACCGUAUACGCCCUACGGGGGAAAAAUUUAUUGCUAUUAGAUGAGCCUAUAUUAGAUUAGUUAGUUGGUGAGGUAAAGGCUUACCAAGACAAUGAUCUAUAGCUGAUCUGAGAGGAUGAUCAGCCACACUGGAACUGAGAUACGGUCCAGACUCCUACGGGAGGCAGCAGUGGGGGAUAUUGGACAAUGGGCGAAAGCCUGAUCCAGCCAUGCCGCAUGAGUGAAGAAGGCCUUCGGGUUGUAAAGCUCUUUUAGUGAGGAAGAUAAUGACGGUACUCACAGAAGAAGUCCUGGCUAACUCUGUGCCAGCAGCCGCGGUAAUACGGAGAGGGCUAGCGUUAUUCGGAAUCAUAGGGCGUAAAGGGCGCGUAGGCGGGUUAAUAAGUUAAAAGUGAAAUCCCAAGGCUCAACCUUGGAACUGCUUUUAAAACUGCUAGUCUAGAGAUUGAAAGAGGAUAGAGGAAUUCCUAGUGUAGAGGUGAAAUUCGUAAAUAUUANGAGGAACACCAGUGGCGAAGGCGUCUAUCUGGUUCAAAUCUGACGCUGANGCGCGAAGGCGUGGGGAGCAAAC